rnacentral:rRNA from 1 species
AGUGAACGCUGGCGGUAGGCCUAACACAUGCAAGUCGAACGGCAGCACAGUAAGAGCUUGCUCUUACGGGUGGCGAGUGGCGGACGGGUGAGGAAUACAUCGGAAUCUACUUUUUCGUGGGGGAUAACGUAGGGAAACUUACGCUAAUACCGCAUACGUCCUACGGGUGAAAGCAGGGGAUCUUCGGACCUUGCGCGAUUGAAUGAGCCGAUGUCGGAUUAGCUAGUUGGCGGGGUAAAGGCCCACCAAGGCGACGAUCCGUAGCUGGUCUGAGAGGAUGAUCAGCCACACUGGAACUGAGACACGGUCCAGACUCCUACGGGAGGCAGCAGUGGGGAAUAUUGGACAAUGGGCGCAAGCCUGAUCCAGCCAUACCGCGUGGGUGAAGAAGGCCCUCGGGUUGUAAAGCCCUUUUGUUGGGAAAGAAAAGCAGCAGGUUAAUACCCCGCUGUUCUGACGGUACCCAAAGAAUAAGCACCGGCUAACUUCGUG